rnacentral:rRNA from 1 species
CGCAUCUGUGCAUGCAGCAUAUCAAUAAGCGGAGGAAAAGAAACUAACAAGGAUUCCCCUAGUAACGGCGAGUGAAGCGGGAAGAGCUCAAAUUUGAAAUCUUAAAGGGUUUCCCUUUACGAAUUGUAGUUUAAAGAAGUGUUUCUGUUGAGGUUUUGGUAAAAGUUCUUUGGAAUAGGACAUCAUAGAGGGUGAGAAUCCCGUAUUUGACCUUUACUUUCAACUUUGUGAUACACUUUCAAAGAGUCGGAUUGUUUGGGAAUGCAGUCCAAAAUGGGUGGUAAAUUUCAUCUAAAGCUAAAUAUUGGCGAGAGACCGAUAGCGAACAAGUACCGUGAGGGAAAGAUGAAAAGAACUUUGAAAAGAGAGUUAAACAGUACGUGAAAUUGUCAAAAGGGAAGCGUUUGACACCAGUGUUGUUUUUCUGAAAAUCAAUUAAAGAACUGUUUAUGCUAAGCUGUUUAGACUUUAUCAGCUAACUGUUUAGUUUUGAGCUUUUCUUUAGUGCACUUUUCAGUUAACAAGUCAACAUCAAUUUCUUUUGCUGUAAAAAAGCUUGAGGAAGGUGGCUUGAGAUUCGUCUUAAGUGUUUAUAGCCUCUUGCCUAUGCAGUCGGAGAGAUUGAGGUCUGCAGCGUAGAUCCUUCGGGGCUAAAUGCAUUUGUGCUAAGUUAUAGCAUUUUAUAGACAACUUGUUGACUAUGAUUUGUCUUGUAGCUUACUCGCUUAUGUUAUUUUACCUACGCUUAGGAUGUUGAACGCGCACAGAGUCUC